rnacentral:lncRNA from 1 species
AAAUUCAAGCCAUUACAUUUUUUUUUCGUCGGAUUUGUGGUCCCGAAACCACAGUUCCGACUAAGCCUAAAAUCGGGCUAUUACAUUACAUAUCAAAUUAAGAAUCAACAUUUGGACUUAAUUUUUGCAAAACUUAUGAAAAAGCGAAAGAAAACAAAAUGCAAAUUAAAUUUGUCAUUGGUUAGUGGUACUUCACAAAAUUAAUGCAGAAUAAGGUAAAUUUCACAUGUAAGCCAAGCCACAACUAUUAUUGCCAUUAAGUUGAGGAAAUUCAAAUAACUGACUCCUUCGUGUCCCUAUGACAAAGUGGAAGAGAGUAUGUGUCUGUGAAAAUUACAAUGAAAAUCAAGAACAUUACAGUAGACAUAAGAAAUUACCCAACCGAAUUUUGCUUUAACAUUGUCAAGCUAGAGAAUCUUAAACCAAAUAAAACCUGCUCCUGCAAAAACAUUUAAGUAAAUAAAUGUUUUAAAAUUUUAAAUCAAAUAAGUUGCAUAAUAACAUAACAAAGAGAAAUGUUAAUAUAAAACCUAAAAACAAUUUAAUGCCAAUUUUUAAGGAAAUUACAUAUGGUUCUAAAAUUCAAAACAAGUACUCCUAAAAGCAUCCAGACGUUAAAUCAAAUAAGUUGCAUAAUAACAUCACAAAGAGAAAUGUUAUUAUAAAACCUAAAAACAAUUUAAUGCCAAUUUUUAAAGAGAUUACAUAUGAUUCUAAAAUUCAAAACAGGGACUCCACAAAGCAUUCAUACAUUAUUAAGCCUCUGCUCAGCUUAUGCAUAUAAACAUAAACAACCCAAGCUUUAAGCUUAAUUUAUCAAAGAUCUCUAAAUUCCACCUCCCUCACUUCAUUAGUAAUUACCCUUCAUAAACAACAAUUUCCUUUAUUCUGAACGUUCUUAUCUGUUCCAAACCAAUUUAUCCUCAAUUUUUGAGUUGAUGAAAUCUUCUCAAGAAAAUUUAGAAAUGGAAUUUAGCUUUGAAGAUUUUUAGACUGGACAAUUUAAAGAGAUUAGUUUGCUAUGAUAUGAGGUUUACCCAUCAAAGUUCCUACCAGUCAUUUUAGAAGUAACUUUAGAGACUUUCUCUCUGCAUUGAGCGCACCCCCUGUUUGCACUCAUCACUAUAACCUGAAACUGGAGUUUAAGCAAUGUGAUUUCUAAAUUAGUGAAUUAAACUCUAAAACAGCAAUACUUGCAUGUGUGCAAUUCACACUGCUGCUGAGAUUGCAGAAGCUUGAAGUUACCCUUUUUUUUUCAUGUUCAUGAUGAAACUGUUAGAGGGUCUUUGAUAAAAAAAAAUUCAAUAUAGAAACAUCAUAUAACCGUGAAGGAAGAACCAAAAGAAGUUAAAGAAAUUUGCAGAUACUACCACUCAAGAAAACCAAAAAUUUAUAUAACACCAAAGGUGUUCCUAAAAGUAGAGAAACAAGCUAAUGAUGCAGAACCAAGAAGCUAAACCUUGGACAAUGAUGAUCAAUGGAAACAAACUUUGAUGAAAAGAAAAGAACCCAGAAAACAUACCGAAGGGAGAGCCAGAUCCUCGAAAUGCAAGAGAGUUUUUGUCUUCGAUGCCAUAUGCAAUAAUUAAAUCAAGUCUCUGUUCUGCUUCUUCAAACAUAUGAUGAACUCUCUCUCUUUCUCUCAACCUGGUUUUUUGCAAAAUUUAUGAAACCUAUUAAGCUUCAAACAAUCAACUCUUCACAAGAAGAAACCGUUGUAUCUAACAUUAUAAAAAGAAAAAAAAAAGUGAAGUUGCUAUUAAGAAAAUGAGGGAUUAUAUUAGAAAAAAAUAGAAUUAGGGAUUAUAUUUAUAUUAAACCAUUUAAAACGAACCUCCUCUUGUAGAGCCUUAAGCUUUUCAUCAGCAAGUAAUGAAUCAUCCUGCAAUUAACAUAAUAUAGAAAUUAAAAUUCAUAGCCGAAUAAACCCUAAUUUAGUACACUGUACUCUUCAAUCUACGCUUCUUUAGGGAGAGACAUUCAAUAACUGAAAAUAAUUGAAAACAUAAUAAUAAAAAAGCAAAGCUUCUUUAGGGAAAUUUUGGGGCAAAUUUUGAGAGUAAAAGGAGAUGAGAAAGAAGAUGAGAAGCGGGUAACCAAAAUUCUUUUUUUCGUUGUGAGCGGG